UGCAAGUCGUACGCGAAAGGGGGCAACCCCCGGUAGCGUGGCAGACGGGUGAGUAACACGUGGGCAAUCUGCCCGGAGGUGGGGGAUAACCCUUCGAAAGGAGGGCUAAUACCGCAUGAUAUCCCGAAGACUUUGGACUUCGGGAUCAAAGCUGGCCUCUACUUGUAAGCUAGCGCCACCGGAGGAGCCCGCGCCCCAUUAGCUAGUUGGUGAGGUAACGGCUCACCAAGGCUACGAUGGGUAGCCGGCCUGAGAGGGCGACCGGCCACACUGGAACUGCGACACGGUCCAGACUCCUACGGGAGGCAGCAGUGAGGAAUCUUGCGCAAUGGGCGAAAGCCUGACGCAGCGACGCCGCGUGGAGGAUGAAGGUCUUCGGAUCGUAAACUCCUGUCGAGCGGGACGAAGUCCGGAAGGGUGAAUAAUCCUUCUGGUUGACGGUACCGCUGGAGGAAGCCCCGGCUAACUCCGUGCCAGCAGCCGCGGUAAUACGGAGGGGGCCAGCGUUGUUCGGGAUCAUUGGGCGUAAAGGGCGCGUAGGCGGCCACGCAAGUCGAAUGUGAAAUCCCUCGGCUCAACCGAGGAACUGCAUCCGAAACUGCGAGGCUCGAGUCCUGGAGAGGGUAGUGGAAUUCCCAGUGUAGCGGUGAAAUGCGUAGAUACUGGGAGGAACACCGGUGGCGAAAGGCGGCUACCUGGACAGGUACUGACGCUGAGGCGCGAAAGCUAGGGGAGCAAACAGGAUUAGAUACCCUGGUAGUCCUAGCUGUAAACGAUGGGCACUUGGUGUUGCGGGUAUCGACCCCUGCAGUGCCGAAGCUAACGCAUUAAGUGCCCCGCCUGGGGAGUACGGUCGCAAGGCUGAAACUCAAAGGAAUUGACGGGGCCCGCACAAGCGGUGGAGCAUGUGUUAUCGACGCACGCGAGACUACUGGG
rnacentral:rRNA from 1 species